CGGCUUGUUGAUUUGGUGGUCAGCCAAUUAAUCUUUGUGUGUUGUUUGGUGGUUAGCCAAUACAUUCAUUCUUUCUUAGGUGGCUAGACUUAGAUCGUGAGUAUAUCAAGAGCCAUUCCGCAUCUCUUGACGAUCCUUUGAAUCCAUAUCAGUUCCAGAAGUGUCGUUUGCCUUCUCUGAUCAUAUCCAACACCCAGCUAAAGUGAUCCUUC
rnacentral:lncRNA from 1 species